rnacentral:rRNA from 1 species
CCCUUAGAUGUUCUGGGCCGCACGCGCGCUACACUGACGAAGUCAGCGAGCAUCUCCUUCGCCGAAAGGUGCGGGGAAUCUUGUGAAACUUUGUCGUGCUGGGGAUUGAUUUUUGAAAUUCUUGAUCAUCAACGAGGAAUUCCUAGUAAGCGCAAGUCAGCAGCUUGCGUUGAUUACGUCCCUGCCCUUUGUACACACCGCCCGUCGCUCCUACCGAUUGGGUGUGCUGGUGAAAUGUUCGGAUCGGCCGUUUGUCGCGGUUUCCGCGGCUCGUGGCUGAGAAGUUCAUUAAACCCUCCCACCUAGAGGAAGGAGAAGUCGUAACA